AUGGUUAUGAACAGUUUUGAACGUCUUAUUCUAUAUUUAUAUUAUCAACAAACAUAUGUAUGUCAGAGUGACCUUGGAGGCCAGGGACCUAGCUGACUUACCAAACUGCUGGAGGAGCUGAAGCAACUUGUUAAGUCUGACCCCAUGGUGCAGUGCAUCAUGGAGGAGGCUGGGGAGCAAAUCAUUGCUGGAGCAGGUGAGCUGCACCAGGAGAUCUGCCUCAAGGACCUGGAAGAUGAUCAUGUCUGUAUCCCCAUCAAGAAAUCAGACAGUGGGUGAGGAGUCAAAUGCAUUGUGCCUGUUGAAGUCCCCCAACAAACACAACCAGCUGUACAUGAAGGCCUGGCCCUUCCCUGAUGUCCUGGCUGAGGACAUAGACAAGGGGGGAGUGUCUGCUUGCCAGGAGCACAAGGCAUCGGCUUGCUACCUGGCUGAGAAGUAUGAGUGGGAUGGCUCUGAUGCCCACAAGAUCUCGUGUUUCUGGCCUGAUGGCACUGGCCCCAACAUUCUGACUGACAUCACCAAGGGUGUGCAGUACCUGAAUGAGAUCAACAACAGUGUCAUGACUGGAUUGCAGUGGGCCACUAAGGAGGGCACUCUCUGUGAGGAGAACAUGUGUGGUUUGCGUUCGAGGUUCAUGACAUGACUCUGUAUGUUGAUGCCAUCCACUGAGGAGGUGGCCAGAUAAUCCCCACAGCCUGGCACUGCCCCUAUGCCAGUGUGUUGACCACACAGUCCCGCCUCAUGGAACCUAUCUACUUUGUGGAAUAUGAAUAA